AUGCAUAUUGCUAACCCAAACAAACUUGAUAAAAUGAAGGAUCAGCCCCAUGCAUAUGCUACAUUAAUUGUUGUCCAUUGUUGUAAGUCUGGUGAUUUCCUACAUCUUAUUUGUGUCAAAGUUGGUAGUUACAUUA